AUAAGAUACAAUAUAUGAUGAAAUAUAAAUAUCUUUUAUAUAAAAUAUCAUUAUAUGAGUCUGAAAGAUGAAAGAACAGUCCAUCAAAAUACAAAUUUUGAUUGACUUAUAGGGUACUAUUCUUUCAAUCUCCUACUUACAUUAAAGCCAAUUAUUCUUAUAUUUUAAACCCAUACAAUCGAGGUAGCGAUUAAACUGCUAC
rnacentral:lncRNA from 1 species